rnacentral:rRNA from 1 species
UACGAGGGGGGGCAAGCGUUGUUCGGAAUUAUUGGGCGUAAAGGGCGCGUAGGCGGUGCGGUAAGUCACCUGUGAAAACUCUGGGCUCAACUCAGAGCCUGCAGGCGAAACUGCCGUGCUUGAGUGUGGGAGAGGUGCGUGGAAUUCCCCGGUGUAGCGGUGAAAUGCGUAGAUAUCGGGAGGAACACCAGUGGCGAAAGCGGCGACCUGGGUCGAGACUGACGCUGAGGCGCGAAAGCGUGGGGAGCAAACAGG